rnacentral:rRNA from 1 species
UCAGGCCUAACACAUGCAAGUCGAGCGGAAACGAGUUAUCUGAACCUUCGGGGAACGAUAACGGCGUCGAGCGGCGGACGGGUGAGUAACGCCUAGGAAAUUGCCCUGAUGUGGGGGAUAACCAUUGGAAACGAUGGCUAAUACCGCAUGAUGCCUACGGGCCAAAGAGGGGGACCUUCGGGCCUCUCGCGUCAGGAUAUGCCUAGGUGGGAUUAGCUAGUUGGUGAGGUAAGGGCUCACCAAGGCGACGAUCCCUAGCUGGUCUGAGAGGAUGAUCAGCCACACUGGAACUGAGACACGGUCCAGACUCCUACGGGAGGCAGCAGUGGGGAAUAUUGCACAAUGGGCGCAAGCCUGAUGCAGCCAUGCCGCGUGUGUGAAGAAGGCUUUCGGGUUGUAAAGCACUUUCAGUCGUGAGGAAGGUAGUGUAGUUAAUAGCUGCAUUAUUUGACGUUAGCGACAGAAGAAGCACCGGCUAACUCCGUGCCAGCAGCCGCGGUAAUACGGAGGGUGCGAGCGUUAAUCGGAAUUACUGGGCGUAAAGCGCAUGCAGGUGGUUUGUUAAGUCAGAUGUGAAAGCCCGGGGCUCAACCUCGGAAUAGCAUUUGAAACUGGCAGACUAGAGUACUGUAGAGGGGGGUAGAAUUUCA